rnacentral:rRNA from 1 species
AGAGUUUGAUCCUGGCUCAGGAUGAACGCUGGCGGCGUGCCUAAUACAUGCAAGUCGAACGCUUCACUUCGGUGAAGAGUGGCGAACGGGUGAGUAAUACAUAAGUAACCUGGCAUCUACAGGGGGAUAACUGAUGGAAACGUCAGCUAAGACCGCAUAGGUGUAGAGAUCGCAUGAACUCUAUAUGAAAAGUGCUACGGGACUGGUAGAUGAUGGACUUAUGGCGCAUUAGCUGGUUGGUAGGGUAACGGCCUACCAAGGCGACGAUGCGUAGCCGACCUGAGAGGGUGACCGGCCACACUGGGACUGAGACACGGCCCAGACUCCUACGGGAGGCAGCAGUAGGGAAUUUUCGGCAAUGGGGGAAACCCUGACCGAGCAACGCCGCGUGAAGGAAGAAGUAAUUCGUUAUGUAAACUUCUGUCAUAGAGGAAGAACGGUGGAUAUAGGGAAUGAUAUCCAAGUGACGGUACUCUAUAAGAAAGCCACGGCUAACUACGUGCCAGCAGCCGCGGUAAUACGUAGGUGGCGAGCGUUAUCCGGAAUUAUUGGGCGUAAAGAGGGAGCAGGCGGCACUAAGGGUCUGUGGUGAAAGAUCGAAGCUUAACUUCGGUAAGCCAUGGAAACCGUAGAGCUAGAGUGUGUGAGAGGAUCGUGGAAUUCCAUGUGUAGCGGUGAAAUGCGUAGAUAUAUGGAGGAACACCAGUGGCGAAGGCGACGAUCUGGCGCAUAACUGACGCUCAGUCCCGAAAGCGUGGGGAGCAAAUAGGAUUAGAUACCCUAGUAGUCCACGCCGUAAACGAUGAGUACUAAGUGUUGGGAGUCAAAUCUCAGUGCUGCAGUUAACGCAAUAAGUACUCCGCCUGAGUAGUACGUUCGCAAGAAUGAAACUCAAAGGAAUUGACGGGGGCCCGCACAAGCGGUGGAGCAUGUGGUUUAAUUCGAAGCAACGCGAAGAACCUUACCAAGUCUUGACAUCCCAUUGAAAAUCAUUUAACCGUGAUCCCUCUUCGGAGCAAUGGAGACAGGUGGUGCAUGGUUGUCGUCAGCUCGUGUCGUGAGAUGUUGGGUUAAGUCCCGCAACGAGCGCAACCCCUGUUGCCAGUUGCCAGCAUUAAGUUGGGGACUCUGGCGAGACUGCCGGUGACAAGCCGGAGGAAGGCGGGGAUGACGUCAAAUCAUCAUGCCCCUUAUGACCUGGGCUACACACGUGCUACAAUGGACAGAGCAGAGGGAAGCGAAGCCGCGAGGUGGAGCGAAACCCAUAAAACUGUUCUCAGUUCGGACUGCAGUCUGCAACUCGACUGCACGAAGAUGGAAUCGCUAGUAAUCGCGAAUCAGCAUGUCGCGGUGAAUACGUUCUCGGGCCUUGUACACACCGCCCGUCACACCAUGAGAGUCGGUAACACCCGAAGCCGGUGGCCUAACCGCAAGGAAGGAGCUGUCUAAGGUGGGACUGAUGAUUGGGGUGAAGUCGUAACAAGGUAUCCCUACGGGAACGUGGGGAUG